GCCUAUCCACGCACACACACACACACACACACACACACUCUCUCUCUCUCUGACACACAAACGCAGGAGCGCAAUAGAGUGCAGGAGGAGAAGGGAGGAGAGGCAGAGAGCGGAAUAUCGCGUUAGUGUUCAGCAAGAGCAUCAUGGCACCCAUUGGAUUAAAGGCGGUGGUUGGAGAAAAGAUUAUGAAUGAUGUGAUCAAGAAGGUGAAGAAGAAGGGAGAAUGGAAGGCUCUGGUGGUGGACCAGCUGAGCAUGAGGAUGCUUUCCUCCUGCUGCAAGAUGACUGACAUUAUGACAGAGGGCAUCACAAUUGUGGAGGACAUAAACAAGCAGAGAGAGCCUCUACCCACCUUGGAGGCCAUUUACCUCAUCACCCCUACUGAGAAGUCUGUGCAUACACUUAUUAAUGACUUCAAGGAUCCUCAUUCGUCAAAAUACAGAGCAGCUCAUGUGUUCUUCACUGAUUCUUGCCCGGAUCCGUUAUUCAAUGAACUGGUUAAGAGUCGCGCUUCAAAGUGUGUCAAGUCCUUGAAUGAGAUCAAUAUUGCCUUCCUGCCGUACGAGUCACAGGUGUACUCUCUGGAUAACCCUGAUGCCUUCCAGAGUUUCUACAGCCCCCAUAAGACUCAGAUGAAGAACCCAGUGAUGGAAAGACUAGCUGAGCAGCUGGCCACUCUGUGUGCCACGCUCAAGGAGUACCCCGCUGUCCGAUACCGAGGCGAGUACAAAGACAACGCCACUCUGGCUCAGCUGGUGCAGGACAAACUGGAUGCCUACAAGGCAGAUGACCCCACGAUGGGAGAGGGUCCUGACAAGGCUCGCUCGCAGCUCAUCAUUUUGGAUCGGGCUUUUGAUCCUGUCUCUCCUGUCCUUCACGAACUUACCUUCCAGGCCAUGGGCUACGAUCUGCUGCCUAUUGAGAAUGAUGUCUACAAGUAUGAAACCAGCGGAAUGGGAGACUCUCGGGAGAAAGAGGUGCUGCUACAUGAGGACGAUGACCUGUGGGUGUCUCUGCGGCACAAGCACAUUGCUGAGGUGUCUCAGGAAGUGACAAAAUCUCUGAAGGAUUUCUCAGCCAGCAAACGGAUGAACACUGGAGAUAAGACCACGCUGAGGGAUUUGUCUCAGAUGCUGAAGAAGAUGCCGCAGUAUCAGAAAGAGCUCAGCAAGUACUCUACUCACCUGCAGCUGGCAGAAGACUGCAUGAAGCACUAUCAGGGCACUGUGGACAAGCUGUGCCGUGUUGAGCAGGACCUGGCCAUGGGAACAGAUGCAGAAGGGGAGAAGAUUAAGGACCCCAUGAGGGCCAUCGUGCCCAUCCUGCUCGACGCCAAUGUCAGCACCUACGACAAGAUCCGUAUCAUCCUGCUCUAUAUUUUCCUCAAGAAUGGAAUCACAGAGGAGAACCUGAACAAGCUGAUACAGCAUGCACAGAUCCCUCCUGAGGACAGUGAGAUCAUCACCAACAUGGCUCACCUGGGUGUCCCCAUCAUCACAGACUCCACUCUGCGCCGGGGGAAGAAGAUGGACCGCAAGGAGCGUGUGAGUGAGCAGACCUACCAGCUCUCUCGCUGGACCCCACUGGUCAAGGACAUCAUUGAGGAUGCGAUUGAUGACAAGCUGGACACCAAGCAUUACCCUUACAUCUCGACUCGCUCCUCCUCCUCGUUCAGCACCUCAGCAGUCAGUGCCCGAUAUGGCCACUGGCACAAGAAUAAGACCCCCGGAGAGUACCGCACUGGGCCACGUGUCAUUGUCUUCAUCAUUGGUGGAGUGUCUUUCAGCGAGAUGCGCUGUGCCUAUGAGGUCACACAGGCCAACGGCAAAUGGGAAGCCAUCAUCGGUUCCACCCACACGCUCACCCCAACCAAAUUUCUAAUGGAUCUGCAGCAUCCCGACUUCCGAGAGUCCACUAGGGUGUCCUUUGAGGACCCUGUUCCCUCAGACGAUUGAGAGAAAGAGGGAAGGGUGGGAGAGAGAGAGAGAGAAAGAAAGAGAAAUCACACUCUGACAAAGCUCAACCCAUAUCUUUACCCCUACCGUGCUCCUGGACGCACUCAAGGCCAUGAACAAACCAGACGAGGAUCAGACAAGCUAAAACCCUCCCUCUCUUCUCGUCUAUCUGAUCGCCCAAAUCCCCUGCUCCCAUAUUAAUGUGUAUGCAUCUUGCUUGAAAGAAAAAUGUAAAAAAAAAAAAAUGAAAGAAAAAAAAUAAUAAACAAUGGAAAUACUGACUAAAAAAUGAGAUAUAUAUAUAAAUAUAUAUAGUAUGUUGAAAAGCAAAAGAAUCAUUGUAAGUAUUCUCAUGUUUUACAAUGGAUGCAAAUGUUUAAACUGUCAAAAUAAGGUUUAAAUAUCAAAGGCCAUUCAAAACAGAAAUAACCAAAUAUUAAUAUUAAUAAUGAUAUUGGAUGCUCGGAAAUGUGUAAAUGGUAGAAACUUAGAUCAUUGGUGUGAUUUGUCAUGGUUGUGGGUGGGGGAGGGACAGUUGUGUGUAUGUGAGCGCCAGUCGAGAACUUAAUCAUAUCAUUUCUCUUGCUUUAUGAUGAACUCCUGUCAUUCGUCAUGCUGUAUGCUGAAAGCUCUGGUUUUAGAUUCAUAGUCGUGCAUGCCAUGGAAUCUUAUUUGUGGCCAUUUUGAAAUCUGAGGGGGAAAAAAUGUUGUGAUUUUGACACUGACUGAGUAUCUGCUGAGGGGAGAACCCGAAGCAGUUGAUGAGAAAAAUGAGUCACAUGUCAAAUGUAAAUAGCUCCAGAAUGCAAAUAUCAGCCCUCGCCGGCCUCAGAUCUGGCUCUAUCUACUCGCCAGGACCUUUUGUUUUAUUGCUCUGCAGAGAAUUUCACGUUUUAGUGUCAAAAAGGCCAUUGCUUGCAAAUGUUUGAAGAAUAUUCUCAACAGAAAAAAAGGGCCAGCUGUACUUCAGUAUUGUAUCCUGUCCGAUUAAGUCUUAUCAUUGGCUAGUAAAUGAUGUUUAACCGGGCCAUGCACUGAGUAGUGUGAUGUUGUAUAUGCCAUAUGUUGAUGUUUUAACGUCUCCCUGUUGACUUUCUGACUGUGAAGUAGUAUUUUUUUUUUCUUUCAAUAAUGCGAAGCCAAUGUGUUUGUGAUGUUCGAGCUGUAGUUGUAGUAGUAACAGAAAAAAAUAGCAACUAUCUAUAUUUGGUUUGUCUGUUCGUUAGUGCAACGUAACUCUUCCACUGGUGAAUGGCUUCGCAAAGAGAUGUAAUCCCAUCAUCUUUUUUCUUUCUAUUUCUAUUUAUUCCUAUUUUAUUCCUCUGCUCCGGCAACCAGGUUGUAUAUUGCACUAUGGGUUUUCUGUGAUGCGAAUGCUUGUUCAUUUUUAGUCCUUUAUUUUUGGUUUGCUGUUGUACAAGCACUGAGUGUGUCUACUAGAUUUAUAUCAAAUUUAUUUAUCAAAGAAAAUAUUAAUAAAUAAGAAGUUAGUCUGUCUUAAACCUGUUUAUCUUUGCUGGGAUUUCAUGUUUGCAAGCGUUGAAGCACAAACAAAAGUUAACUUGAUGUGUACUGAUGUAAUAAGACUGUCAAAUAAAUUGGCUUCCAUUACAGCAAAGAA